UGGGGAAUAUUGCAAAAUGGGGGAAACCCUGAUGCAGCGACGCCGCGUGAGCGAAGAAGGCCUUCGGGUCGUAAAGCUCUUUUAUGAGGGAAGAUAAUGACGGUACCUCAAGAAAAAGCCCCGGCUAACUACGUGCCAGCAGCCGCGGUAAUACGUAGGGGGCUAGCGUUGUCCGGAAUCACUGGGCGUAAAGGGUUCGCAGGCGGAAUAACAAGUCAGAUGUGAAAGGCAUGGGCUCAACCCAUGUAAGCAUUUGAAACUGUAAUUCUUGAGAAGUGGAGAGGUAAGUGGAAUUCCUAGUGUAGCGGUGAAAUGCGUAGAUAUUAGGAGGAAUACCUGUGGCGAAGGCGACUUACUGGACACAAAUCUGACGCUGAGGAACGAAAGCGUGGGUAGCAAACAGG
rnacentral:rRNA from 1 species